GAAAAGCAUAAAUUUAUUUACCUUAGAUUCUGGGUUUCCUAUAAAUAGGAGAUAAAUCCCAGAAUCGUUCUCUUUUGGCUGGUGAAUCUAGAACGGUCUAGAAGUGCGCGCGUGUGUAGCUUUUUAUUAAAUAGAGGUGUUAGUCAGUUAGUAAAAACGGCUAAUUGUAGUACGUCGAAUUAAAAUUGUGUUAGUAAAAGUUAUCAUUGUAAAAAUCCGAUUGUUAAAAGUUAAUUGUUCAAACACAAACAUCGACAAACAAGAAGAAACUAUAAGAAAAAGGUCCGAGGCAAGGGCCUUUUUCUUUUAUUUUGGGCUUUUUCCCAGCAAACGGCCGGAGAAAGCGACGAUGAGCCACCUCGAGCGAUGCACAAAAGCCAAUGCCAGCCAUAAGACGCCAUUGU